GAGACAGCUCGCGAGCUGCAUCGAGACGAGCUAAACUGGUUCGUAGUUCAGCUCGAGUUUGUUAGCCCAGCUGCUGCUACUGCCAGAGGCAGCUCGUCGAUUUUUUUUUCCAGCUCCACUUGAGUCAUGUGACGAGAAGAUUUGCAGCUAGUAUAUCAGAACGGUGGAUUUGGGCCCGAGUGAUAGCGCCGGAGGAAGCGUGCUCCGUGUGGGCCCUCCCUCCGGAGCCCGCCCGCGACCGUUUCUGCCGCAUGGAGGACCGCCGCCGCGUGCGGCGUUAGUCGGCCGGGCGGCCCCGCCUUCCAGUUCCAGCCGCUUGGAAGCCGUCGAGGUACUCCCCGCCGGCGUCCAACCUUACACAGUCCGUGUUACGGGGCUUGCCCGUGGCAGCUUCUUCUACCAGUGCGUGUGCGUCUACCUCCUUCUGGAGCCCACCCCCGAGGAGGUGGGAGCGAGCGAUCACUGCUGUGCCGACUUCGGUUAUAGGAGAAAAACUCACUCUUAUAUGGAGACUUUACAGAUGAUGAUGAUGAAUUGAUGAGGAGGCAAAGAAGAAGAUAGAUGAGCUGAUCAAGGAUAUCUGUGGAAUAGAGUUUGAUAUCACUGAGCUUGUGCUUUAUAGAAGGAUGCCAUAGAUAUAAGCUUGGAGUCAUGGGAAUUGGUGGAGGUGUGCCAUCUUGAGAAGAAGUGAUUAGUUUCCUCUCCAAGGUGAUUCUGCUUGUAGUGUUAUGGAGUCCAGCAGGAGGCAAACAUGCCCGCAUGAUGCUGAAGCCGAAGGAGCGGUGCGCUCCGUACUCCUCGGUCAAUAUUAAACAUGAGAAAAGAAGAAGCAUAUCUUCCCCGGAGAUAACAAAAAAAUGUUCGCAAAAGGCACGCGAUCCAAUACGAGAACACUCGGAACACUGCUUUUGUAUAUCUUUACUGAGUGGACGAUAUUCGCCUGCCCUUGUGAUUCUCUGUUUUGCUCGAAUGGAAUGGAAUGUACAUAGCCUGGUGUAGGUUUUCUUGCACAUGCUGGUCGUCUAGAUAGCCAUCGUCAGGAUCAUGUGUCGCUGGACUUGUAAUGAAAGUAUAUGAUUUUACUGGAGUAACAAUGCCUCCUCUCGUAAUGGAAGUAUAUGUAAUGUAAUCCGCUGGUGUUGUUUGCCAGCAUUCCUGC